ACUUCAAGAGGCGAUCACCGACAUUAAGAUUGAAAUUAGCAUUCCUCUUGCCUAAGAUCAGUCCAGUGAUUAUACCGGUAGACCGAUUCGAGAUUGGCAUGAUCGUCACUUUUGAUCUUGAUCGAUAAAUUAGUCCGGUUCCCUCACUGUCAUUAGAUAAUGUCUUCAUGGUUCUUCGAUCUCCGGGGUCAUAAAUUUUCAGGCGAAGGGUGAAGAAAACAGUCGGGAAAAGAUCAAAAAUAGCUACCAUAAUCAGAAUUAUUACUGGAGAAGCUAGAAUUGGAGAAAUGGAGCAUUGAAAAACUGAAGGAGGAAAAUUGAAGUGUGAAGGGGAUUUCCCGUAGGUGCAUAUAUAUAAGGCCUAGGCAUUUAUUAUAUACAGAAACCGAAGCGGAUGCAUCGGUAACUGAAGAAUUAAUUACUUUGACCAAGGCAUGACAAAUAAAGAGGAAAAAUCUAGAAUGGGAGAGAUCGGGAAAUGAGGGGGGGCCCGAUACGAGAAAGAUCGAAAAAGGAGAGAGUCAUAAUAGGGAGAUCGGAAGAAAAUAGAUCGAAAAGUGCGAAAAGAUUAAAUAACUUUCAAUCAACUCUCUUUAUCAUCAGAGCCGAAUUAGUUAAAGCGUUGCAGGCGUGAUCAAAUCCUCACCACACGCCUCAUCUGUAAAAACACCCACCUAGCUGACAGAUGUCAAAACAGUUAUGGCAGUCCUGUACAUCUCAAUCUCCACCGAUGAUCACAAUCAUAAGGAUGGAUCCGGAGCCCUCGGAUCAAAAAGUAGAUGACAGGUUUGGCGCUUUUUAUUCCCAACCUUUGGAUCCAUCUUGUAAAGCAAGUCCCUAAGCCGUUGGAUUAAGAGAAGAAAUGACUGAUAUUCUGAACGGAAUCCCAACCCUCCAUUUUGAUUCUCUUUAAUUCUGAGACAUCAGAUUAUGUUCUUUUAAAACUAAACCCUGCAUCUCCCCUGGUGAGAUCCUAACCCUUCAUUAUGGGUGUAACCCCCUAAUAUUCGAUAGUGCGUUCUACUAUUUCGAUGACCAGUGUCUGUCCGGACAGCUAGAAUGCCUAGAACUACACUUAAAUAUUAGUGAGGAGAUAUGAAAUAAUGAAAUACAAUCGAAAAAAAUACAAGAAAAACAAAGAAAAAAUAAUAGCAAUGAAAUGUAACCAAGUUAAACGAGCCGAAAACCAUAGCGAUGGGUGACCGCACUAGGAAGUUGCGGCGUGGACUGUUGACUAGCCCUGGAUCGCGGGGAACCCUGGAAAAUAUUGUUAAGACUUAAAUAAACAUCUAUUGAAGUAUAAAUGUCAUUAGAAAUAACAAAGAAAAAUUAAUUAAUUAGUA
rnacentral:misc_RNA from 1 species